AUUGAACGCUGGCGGCAUGCUUUACACAUGCAAGUCGAACGGACCUAGGGGCUUGCUCCUAGGUUAGUGGCGAACGGGUGAGUAAUGCAUCGGAACGUACCGUGUAAUGGGGGAUAACGCAGCGAAAGUUGUGCUAAUACCGCAUACGAUCUACGGAUGAAAGCAGGGGAUCGCAAGACCUUGCGUUAUACGAGCGGCCGAUGUCGGAUUAGCUAGUUGGUAGGGUAAAGGCCUACCAAGGCGACGAUCCGUAGCUGGUCUGAGAGGAUGAUCAGCCACACUGGAACUGAGACACGGUCCAGACUCCUACGGGAGGCAGCAGUGGGGGAAUAUUGGACAAUGGGGGCAACCCUGAUCCAGCCAUGCCGCGUGUGU
rnacentral:rRNA from 1 species